GCCGGAGGAUGCAAGCGUUAUCCGGAAUGAUUGGGCGUAAAGCGUCCGCAGGUGGCAGUUCAAGUCUGCUGUCAAAGACCGGGGCUUAACUUCGGAAAGGCAGUGGAAACUGAACAGCUAGAGUAUGGUAGGGGCAGAGGGAAUUCCUGGUGUAGCGGUGAAAUGCGUAGAGAUCAGGAAGAACACCGGUGGCGAAAGCGCUCUGCUAGGCCGCAACUGACACUGAGGGACGAAAGCUAGGGGAGCGAAUGGG
rnacentral:rRNA from 1 species